rnacentral:rRNA from 1 species
AAGACCUUGCGCUUUUGGAGCGGCCGAUGCCUGAUUAGCUUGUUGGUAAGGUAAAGGCUUACCAAGGCUUCGAUCAGUAGCUGGUCUGAGAGGACGACCAGCCACACUGGGACUGAGACACGGCCCAGACUCCUACGGGAGGCAGCAGUGGGGAAUUUUGGACAAUGGGGGCAACCCUGAUCCAGCCAUGCCGCGUGAGUGAAGAAGGCCUUCGGGUUGUAAAGCCCUUUCAGCCGGAACGAAACGGUUACGGUUAACACCCGUGACUACUGACGGUACCGGAAGAAGAAGCACCGGCUAACUACGUGCCAGCAGCCGCGGUAAUACGUAGGGUGCGAGCGUUAAUCGGAAUUACUGGGCGUAAAGCGUGCGCAGGUGGUUUUGUAAGUCAGAUGUGAAAGCCCCGGGCUCAACCUGGGAACU